CCUACCGGUGGCAGCAGUGAGGAAUAUUGGUCAAUGGCCGGAAGGCUGAACCAGCCAUGCCGCGUGAAGGUCAGUGCCCUAUGGGCGUUAAACUUCUUUUGUGCGGGAGCAAUAAUGGUCACGUGUGGCCAGACGAGAGUACCGUACGAAUAAGCAUCGGCUAACUCCGUGCCAGCAGCCGCGGUAAUACGGGGGAUGCAAGCGUUAUCCGGAUUUAUUGGGUUUAAAGGGUGCGUAGGCUGUGAGGUAAGUCAGCGGUGAAAGUUUGCGGCUCAACCGUAAAAUUGCAAUUGAUACUGGCAGCCUUGAGUACAGUUGAGGUAGGCGGAAUUCGUGGUGUAGCGGUGAAAUGCUUAGAUAUCACGAAGAACUCCGAUUGCGAAGGCAGCCUACUAAACUGCCACUGACAUUGAUGCUCGAAAGUGUGGGUAUCAAACAGGAUUAGAUACCCCAGUAGUC
rnacentral:rRNA from 1 species